rnacentral:rRNA from 1 species
CCUACGGGUGGCAGCAGUGAGGAAUAUUGGUCAAUGGACGAGAGUCUGAACCAGCCAAGUAGCGUGAAGGAUGACUGCCCUAUGGGUUGUAAACUUCUUUUAUAUGGGAAUUAAACGUUCCACGUGUGGGAUUUUGUAUGUAUCAUAUGAAUAAGGAUCGGCUAACUCCGUGCCAGCAGCCGCGGUAAUACGGAGGAUCCGAGCGUUAUCCGUAUUUAUUGGGUUUAAAGGGUGCGUAGGUGGAUUGUUAAGUCAGUUGUGAAAGUUUGCGGCUCAACCGUAAAAUUGCAGUUGAAACUGGCAGUCUUGAGUACAGUAGAGGUGGGCGGAAUUCGUGGUGUAGCGGUGAAAUGCUUAGAUAUCACGAAGAACUCCGAUUGCGAAGGCAGUUCACUGGAAUGCAACUGACACUGAGGCUCGAAAGUGUGGGUAUCAAACAGGAUUAGAUACCCGGGUAGUC